CCACGCGUAGGUUAGCGGUAGACCGCCUGCGUCACAUGCAGGUAGCCGCUGGUUCGAAUCCAGCCGCGUGGACC
rnacentral:tRNA from 1 species